UAUAGUAAAUCGCUCUGUAACUCUCAACUUAACCUCUGACGUCUUGGCCGGCUGAUUCCUGCUUUACUGAGACCUCUCCACCGUCUGGGUGCCCUGAGCAGUUUCCUUGCCCACAUUCAGAAGUUGCCAUGACAAUGAAACGAGCCAUUCUUAGGAAAAUGGCCUUGAAAACAAAAGGUUUUAUGCUUCCUUGAAGGCAAGAACAACUGUCUUCUCACGCUGCUCUGUGGACCCCUGCUCAUCCAGCACUUUCACAUCCUUGCUCCAGUCCCUGAUGGGUAGAGAACCAACUGCUCAAGAUUAGUUGGAGUUUUGCAAAGUGUCUAUGGGAGAACUGGCUGCUUCCUUCUCCAGCCUUUUCAAGGCCCUGGCAAUCAUUCCAACCAUCCCUGUGAGCAUGUUCAGGCUUCAUCUGGUCUCAUCCAUCCCACCAUUGCCUGCUCCUCGGUCUUGACUUUGUCAGAUGCUGCAGACAACAGCUAGCAGCAGAGUCCCUGCUGUGUGCUGCUGGGGGUGCCUCCAGGGAAGAAACUGUAGACGAGUCGGAAAAAAAUAGCUUGGGGAGCAGAGGUGCCUCCGCAGAAUGCUGACUUGAUGUUCUGUUGAUGAACAGUUUAAGGGGUCAAGAGAAUAAACAGGUGUGGGGGAGGCAUGAGCUGUGAACCACAGGUCUUAGAGUGAGACAGGCCAGCCCACUUCUGAAGCAGCUCUGCACACUGCUGGGCUCACGGAUCUAGAAAGGGCAGGCUUGGGAGAGGCAUAUCCAUCACAGGAGGCGGACUGCGGCCUCUGGACUCACUAAAUGUUAGCACAUCCUGUACAGUCAAGCAACAUAAAUUGGGUCAAACCUUGACGAGUGCUGAAGUUUUGCAGCACAGGGGAAGAGAGUUUUCCCAGUGUCAGACUUCAACUACUGACUUAAGGCUGCUUUCAUGUUAAUUAAACAUAUUAAUAUAAUUCAACUGCAAGAGAAUCUGUAUAGCUUUUCAGAUUUUCCUCAAAAGGGCUAAAAGCGGGAAGAUGCCAAUUCAGAAAAUUUUCAUGAAGGUAAUUACAUCAUGGCAGACAUCCAGGCAAGAUGUACACACACGAGGGGUUCGGAAGCAACUUUUUUUUUUUUUUAAUAAAUCUGCACCCACUGCAUUUUAUUUUAUUUAGCUUCACCACACAUUAU